CUUCGUUGGGCGGCCCCAGGGCGGGGCCGCAGCCUUCUUGUGAGGUGCCCGCCGGAGGUAUAAAACUCUGUAUUAUAUUAGUCUCUCUGAGUGAUUUACAAAAUAAGUCAAAACUUUCAACAACGGAUCUCUUGGUUCUGGCAUCGAUGAAGAACGCAGCGAAAUGCGAUAAGUAAUGUGAAUUGCAGAAUUCAGUGAAUCAUCGAAUCUUUGAACGCACAUUGCGCCCGCUAGUAUUCUAGCAGGCAUGCCUGUUCGAGCGUCAUUUCAACCCUCAAGCUUUGCUUGGUGUUGGGGUUCUACUUUGUAGGCCCUAAAAACUAGUGGCGGGCUCGCUAUAACUCCGAGCGUAGUAGUAAUAUAUCGCUAGGGAAGUGUAGCGGGUUCUAGCCGUAAAACCCCCCACUUUAAAAGGUUGACCUCGGAUCAGGUAGGAAUACCCGCUGAACUUAAGCAUAUCAAUAA
rnacentral:sRNA from 1 species